UCAAAUUUGGGGUCUCCUAGCUGUAAUACUCUGUUUAAUUGCCAGUCUUAACAGGAUGAGCACUGGAACAUGUCCGGACAGAUCCAGGCAGCUGGUGAAAACUCAUGAAUUCUCUGCAGCACAGAAGGAGCAGGUUUGCAUUCAGGCCACUGAGACGACGGAGGCUGCAUCACAGAAGAGGCCGUGGGAGGUCACAGGUACGGCCUCUCCUUCUGACUGUACAAUGAACUCUGCAAGCUGUGUGGUCAGAGUGCCAGGGACAGCCAGGAACUGCUGUCAUCGUUCCAGGUGGAGCUGACAGACUGUCUCUGAAGCGCCCACCUGCGCGUGCGCCCCCUCUUCCCGGCACAGGCUACAGAUGCGCAGAAUCCUAACUACGGCCACCGUUUCCUGCCUCAACGAGCCAUGCCCUAAAAGAAACAAAUGCAUCGCCCCAGAAUUCUUAGAAAGUUACAAUCAUGUGCUUAACUCUUUUAAUUUCCUUUUCCUUCAACUUAAACUUUAAUUUCAGGUAUCUUCUAUACAACACAGAAGUCACGUUCUGGAUAGAAUUAAAAGGAAAUUAACUUGGGGUUUAGGGUGGACGUUUUUUGCCUUAUUUUGCUUCUUAGUAACGAAAGUGAAGGCUGAAUAAUGAGAAUAUUAUUAAUCCAUCUCCAUUUUUCUACUUUAAAGGCGCAGCAUAGAUUUUGGUUCCAGUUGUUAUUACGUUAAUGAGAGUAAUGAAUAUUCCAUGUGAGGGCAGCGUGUAUGAAAGUGUGCUGGGAAAGUUCUAUGGAUCUUUGUGUUUUGUUUCAGUUUUGAGGAUUAAAUGCAAGUUUAAUCCUUUAAUGAAUAUAUAAGUCUGUUGAUGCCCUUUCUUGAGGAAGUUAUGGUUAAAUUAUUGUGUCAAAUCGUUGUAUUUCAUUCUGUCUCCAGUGUGGGGGUAGCAUAGAGAGGUGGUGGGUAGGGCUGGGGGUGAAUAUGUGUGUUUUUCUUAAGCGACGCUAGUUUUGGAACAUGUAAGGAUUCCAAAGGUUAAUGUGGAUUAAAAUGCUGUCUGCCAUGAACUUUAGAAAUUGAAAUAAAUGUGGUUGGUAAAAGAAGAUCUGUGUUUUGAUUACACGGAAAUGCUUUUGUAGGCCUUUUCUUUCAGGUGAAG
rnacentral:lncRNA from 1 species